CUGUAAUCUGGUUGAGACUACUUGAGGAGAUCUUAGUAGCGAGUAUGUGGAUUUAGUCUCUUCACCAACAGCAGACAGACCCAUGCCAAGAAAGCAGACAUGUUCUCAAAGAAAGCCGAGAGCAGAGAUUGGAAAAAGCUAAAAAGAAAAAGCUGCAGCUUCAGACGACUAUCUGCCUAUGUUGACUGUGACCUCAGAGGCCAACUGGACCACACAGCUGCAGCAGGAGUGAGGGAGAGGAGUCUUCAUCCAGCUUCAAAGAAAACAUCCAGUUAGAAACCCUGCAGCAACCCGACCCAAAACUGUGUCUUCUUGUUGGCCUC